CCACCCCGCAAAGGAGCCGGCGGGGACCGACCCCGUGGGGGCGAGGCGGCUGGCGGGGACUCCUCGGACGAUUUUAACUCCUGAUCGCUCCCGGGCUGCCGAGUGAGGCUCGGGGGGGGUCCCGGCACAGCCCCCCGCAGCUCCGAGCGGCCGCUGGACAGCAGCAUCCUCAUCAUCCUCACCAUCCUCCUCGCCCCGUUCCCCUCCCUGGACCCCGGCCGGGCAGUGGGGGCAGGCAGAGGUGACAGAAAGCGCUGGAGCAGCCGGGGCAGGAUUCAGCCCCUUGGAUGCCCCGGAGCUCCAGCCCGGAUCCUGCUGCUGCAGCUCCAUCCCUGCCCGGGGACUCGGCUCCCAGACCUCGGCGUAAUUGACUGGCUGCUCAGAGGCGAGGGAAGUCAGGAUCCCCGUGCUGGGGAAGGGAGCAGUGAUUUUCCUGUCUACAAAUCCACUUUGCACUGGUGGUGUUGGUUGGGGUUAAAGCCUGACAAAGUUCAGGCUCAUAAAAAGAGGCUGACAAAGCAAAGCAGAAAGAGAGAAGCUUCCAAGACUUUUCAAGUGAGAAACAAAACAGCACUGUACAAAAAUGACUGGCUCUCCAUUUGCCUGGAAUCCCCAAGGCUGCUCUCCACUGGCAGGCUGCAUGGCAAUGCCUGAUUAGCUUGCACUCCGUGUCCUCACUGUGCUGCAGGAGAGAAGGACAGGGCUGGCAGGGUUUGCAGCAGCUCCAAAAGUCCCAGCACUGCUGCAGUGAAGACCUGCCCACAUUUCGUAGCAUUUCUUCCCAGAGAGAACAAGAUCUGCCUGAUGGAUGAAUGCAGAGACCCAGAAAAAGGGAAUUCAUAACCUGGAUGGCAAGUUUUGGAUGGAAUGAGCUGAAUUUGAGUGUUCUCCAGAGUAGCCUUCAGAGCUUUGUUCUCAUCCAGCUGGAGCCCAAGCCUGCAAGGAAACAAAAGGAAAAACUUCCCCAUGAGCUGGAGAGCUUCAAAGCAAAUUAGAACAGUUGCCUCUGUUCUGGGAAAGAAACACUGAAACCCAGGAGCUGCGGUGAUUUCAUGACAGCCGUGAGAAAGAGCAGAAUGAGCAGUUGUUUCACCUCUCCCUGAGGUAGGAAAGAGUAAUCCCAGCAUGGAGAAAGGAAGAAAAUACCUUGUGAUCAGCUCCUUCACCUGAAAUUCCAGGGGCAGCUUGGACAGGGCUGCAGAGAGCUCGUUUCUGUCACUCACAUGCAAGGGGAGUCCUGACAGGCCUGCAGAUUCAAUCACAAAAUGGAGUUUUAGUAAAACGACAAAUCAGUUUUGGCAGCACACUGAGUCAGUAGCAGGAAAUAGUGAAUAAAUACUUAAUCUCUUAAAUUCUAUGUUACAGCAAUAAUAUAUCACAAAUACAUGACAGACUUAUUUUAACUUCCUUCCAGCAGAAUGAAAACAUGAUGAAUUUGCAUUUCAGGGCUAAAUAUGUGCCUAUGUAUGUAGAGAGGAAAACAAUGAAUCCAAAAUACUUAAGUGACCAAAACAAGAGGUGACAAACAGCUGAAAAGGAUUAAUUUGAUGUUGAUCUUGUAGCUGUGUUUGAGAUUAUGACAGCUGUUGCUUCUUGAAUGUCUGGGACAAAGUUUGCACGUGGCACCCAUUCAAACAACUUUUGUAAAGCACUUUGAUGCUCAACCUAAACACAGUGUGGGUUAAAUGUACUUCAAGGUGUGUUUCAAACCUAGGUUCUAACUCAGGAAUGCUUUCCUAAAUAAAGGUCUACCCAAAACACGCA